rnacentral:tRNA from 1 species
UACAUGUUGAUGUAAAGAGCAUAAAAAGUUUUGAUCUUUUAAGAAAUAGUGCAAUUCUGUUACGUGUAA